GACGAGGUCCACAAACGUUAUUCGGAAUUACUGGGCUUAAAGCGUGCGUAGGCGGCUUAGCAAGUUGGGUGUGAAAGCCCUCGGCUCAACCGAGGAAUUGCGCCCAAAACUGCUGAGCUUGAGUGAGACAGAGGUGAGCGGAACUGAUGGUGGAGCGGUGAAAUGCGUUGAUAUCAUCAGGAACACCGGUGGCGAAGGCGCUCUGCUGGGCCGUAACUGACACUGAGGGACGAAAGCUAGGGGAGCGAAUGGG
rnacentral:rRNA from 1 species